UUGCCCAUUUAAGACUGUCAGUGUCUUAAGUGGCCAACACAGGAGGGUAGAUAAAUUUCACCAUAAAACCCAAGGCAGUGUUUGUUGUUGCUUUGGAUCCUGUCUAGUGGAACAUGU